CGCUCUGGUGGCCUAGUGGUUAGAGCGACCGCCUCGGAUGGAGGGAGGUCGUGAGUUCGAUCCCCGGUCGAGUCA